rnacentral:RNase_P_RNA from 1 species
CGGGUCGGCUGGACGGUCGCGUGGCGGGAGACCGCACCGAGGAACGUCCGGGCUCCACAGGGCAGGGCGGUGGGUAACACCCACCCGGAGUGAUCCGCGAGACAGUGCCACAGAGAGAAGACCGCCGGGCUCGUCCCGGUAAGGGUGAAAGGGUGGUGUAAGAGACCACCAGGGGUCGCGGUGACGCGAUCCGCUCGGUAAACCUCGCCCGGAGCAAGGUCAGACAGGGGAUGUUGACGCGGCUCGCCGAGUCCCCGGGUAGGCCGCUGGAGCGGCGCGGCAACGCGUCGCCGAGAGAGAUGACCGUCGAUGGGAUCCGCUUCGGCGGAUCCCGGGACAGAACCCGGCGUACAGGCCGGCCCGUUCG